AUGGAAAAGAAAUACAAAAAAGCAAAAUGGCUGUCUGGGGAGGCCUUACAAAUAGCUGUGGAAAGAAGAGAAGCAAAAAGCAAAGGAGAAAAGGAAAGAUAUAAGCAUCUGAAUGCAGAGUUCCAAAGAAUAGCAAAGAGAGAUAAGAAAGCCUUUCUCAGCAAUCAAUGGAAAGAAAUAGAGGAAAACAACAGCAUGGGAAAGACUAGAGAUCUCUUCAAGAAAAUUAGAGAUACCAAGGGAACAUAUCAUGCAAAGAUGGGCUCGAUAAAGGACAGAAAUGGUAUGGACCUAACAGAAGCACAAGAUAUUAAGAAGAGGUGGCAAGAAUACACAGAAGAACUGUACAAAAAAGAUCUUCACAACCAAGAUAAUCACGAUGGUGUGAUCACUCACCUAGAGCCAGACAUCCUGGAAUGUGAAGUCAAGUGGGCCUUAGAAAGCAUCAGUAUGGACAAAGCCAGUGGAGUUGAUGGAAUUCCAGUUGAGCUGUUUGAAAUCCUGGAAGAUGAUGCUGUGAAAGUGCUGCACUCAAUAUGCCAGCAAAUUUGGAAAACUCAGGAGUGGCCACAGGACUGGAAAAGGUCAGUUUUCAUUCCAAUCCCAAAGAAAGGCAAUGCCAAAGAGGGCUCAAGCUACCACACAAUUGCACUCAUCUCACAUGCUAGUAAAGUAACGCUUAAAAUUCUCCAAGCCAGGCUUCAGCAAUACGUGAACCGUGAACUUCCAGAUAUUCAAGUUGGUUUUAGAAAAGGCAGAGGAACCAGAGAUCAAAUUGCCAACAUCUGCUGGAUCAUGGAAAAAGCAAGAGAGCUCCAGAAAAACAUCUAUUUCUGCUUUAUUGACUAUGCCAAAGCCUUUGACUGUGUGCAUCACAAUGAACUAUGGAAAAUUCUGAAAGAGAUGAGAAUACCAGACCACCUGACCUGCCUCUUGAGAAACCUAUAUGCAGGUCAGGAAGCAACAGUGAGAACUGGACAUGGAACAACAGACUGGUUCCAAAUAGGAAAAGGAGUACAUCAAGGCUGUAUAUUGUCACCCUGCUUAUUUAACUUCUAUAUAAAGUACAUCAUGAGAAACGCUGGGCUGGAAGAAGCACAAGCUGGUAUCAAGAUUGCCGGGAGAAAUAUCAAUAACCUCAGAUAUGCAGAAGACACCACCCUGAUGGCAGAAAGUGAAGAAGAACUAAAAAGCCUCUUGAUGAAAGUGAAAGAGGAGAGUGAAAAAGUUGGCUUAAAGCUCAACAUUCAGAAAACGAAGAUCAUGGCAUCUGGUCCCAUCACUUCAUGGCAGAUAGAUGGGGAAACAGUGGAAACAGUGGCUGACUUUUUUUUUCUGGGCUCCAAAAUCACUGCAGAUGGUGACUGCAGCCAUGAAAUUAAAAGAUGCUUAUUCCUUGGAAGGAAAGUUAUGACCAACCUAGAUAGCAUAUUCAAAAGCAGAGACAUUACUUUGCCAACAAAGGUCUGUCUAGUUAAGGCUAUGGUUUUUCCAGUGGUCAUGUAUGUGAGAGUUGGACUGUGA
rnacentral:lncRNA from 1 species